AUUGAACGCUGGCGGCAGGCUUAACACAUGCAAGUCGAGCGAGCGGCGGACGGGUGAGUAAUGUCUGGGAAACUGCCUGAUGGAGGGGGAUCACUACUGGAAACGGUAGCUAAUACCGCAUACCAUCAGAUGUGCCCAGAUGGGAUUAGCUAGUCGGUGGGGUAAUGGCUCACAUAGGCGACGAUCCCUAGCUGGUCUGAGAGGAUGGCCAGCCACACUGGAACUGAAACACGUUCCAAUGUCCUAGUGGAGGGAGCAGUGGGGAAUAUUGCACAAUGGGCGCUAGGCUUAUGCAGCCAUGCAGCGUGUGUGAAGAAGGCCUUCGGGUUGUAAAGCACUUUCAUCGAGGAGGCGUUACUCGCAGAAGAAGCACCGGCUAACUCCGUGCCAGCAGCGCGGUAAUUC
rnacentral:rRNA from 1 species